rnacentral:rRNA from 1 species
GACGAACGCUGGCGGCGUGCUUAACACAUGCAAGUCGAACGGAAAGGCCCUGCUUUUGUGGGGUGCUCGAGUGGCGAACGGGUGAGUAACACGUGAGUAACCUGCCCUUGACUUUGGGAUAACUUCAGGAAACUGGGGCUAAUACCGGAUAGGAGCUCCUGCUGCAUGGUGGGGGUUGGAAAGUUUCGGCGGUUGGGGAUGGACUCGCGGCUUAUCAGCUUGUUGGUGGGGUAGUGGCUUACCAAGGCUUUGACGGGUAGCCGGCCUGAGAGGGUGACCGGCCACAUUGGGACUGAGGUACGGCCCAGACUCCUACGGGAGGCAGCAGUGGGGAAUAUUGCACAAUGGGCGGAAGCCUGAUGCAGCAACGCUGCGUGCGGGAUGACGGCCUUCGGGUUGUAAACCGCUUUCGCCUGUGACGAAGCGUGAGUGACGGUAAUGGGUAAAGAAGCACCGGCUAACUACGUG